CUGAGAACUUGCUGCUUACAGCUGCCUUUUACUUUUUAACCAGCUGUAUAUGUUCAUGGCUUUUUUUCCUUCAAGCCAUGUCUGAGCAAAAUUCUCCAACAUACAUCUUUGCAUGUUCAUGGUGCUGGGGACAGUUACCUUGAAGCCUUGGACUGAAGGCAAGUCUGAGACAAGGCAGCAGAAAUGCUGAAGUGUGGAAGAUAGCUGGAGAGCACAGCACUCACAGUUUGUACCUGUUUCUGCAAGUCCUGGACACUCCUCAUUCACCGUGGUGGCAAAAUUGAUAUCCAACUGCUUCAUCAUCUUGUCUGCAGAGGUGUGAUACACUCCUGCAGGGCCAGUACACUUCAUCCAGAAAGCCAGCAGUGACAGCUUCUUGUGGAACUCUGGAAUUGCUGGGGAAGACAAAAUGAAUAAUGAAACAAAGCCAUGCUAGAAACAUCAGCUUUGAAAAAAGAAGGAAAGACAGGUGGAAGAAGAAUUUGGGUCUUCAGAGGUGGAAGUAUCCCUACCCCAUAACACCAAUGACAUCUGUCCAUCUUCUGCACAUCAGACUGGAUAAGUGCUUUCUCUUCUCACUUGCAUUUCAGCACUGAGGACAGAUGUAGGUGACACCUGCCUUGCCUGCUGCACCUCCUGGUGACCCUGAGCCAGCCCUUACUACAGGGACCUCUCCUGCACUGCUGGUGAGCUCUGCACAGCGAUUAUUUCAGCAGACACACAUGCCCAGGCAAAUCCUUGUCAGAAGGAAAGCCCCUAAGCUGUUUCUUACCAUCAGUAAGAGAGGUGAUGUUUCCCAAGUUCUCAGUGCUGAUCUCGGCAAUAUUCUCCACCACGAGGAUCUGCCUGGACAGCUUAUCCAGGAGAUCUCUUGUCACAAAUGGUGUUUUACUGGAGAACACAAUUUGCUGGUGAAGACAAAUGGGAAGAAGCAAAAAAGAGUCAUUGAACCAAAAAGAAACCCAGCCUCAGAAAAAACAAAAAAACUCCAAAACACCUGAAGUGCAACAACAAAUUCAUUGCCUCGAACCACAGGAUCUCCUUAACUUAAAAAAAUUUUUGUUGUUGGGAUAUUUUUUGGUCCUAGUUGAUAUGCACCACUGCUUGUACCUUCAACAAUGUACCUUCAAUGAGCUGUACCAUCCACAUCCAGACACCUGAGAAUCCAAGUAGCCAUUUGUGUAAGUAAUGUCUGAUUUACACACUCCACAAAGCUAAAGAAACCCAUCACCACGAGACUUAAAGCCAGGCAAGAAUAUUAAUCUGACUUUCACACAACAUGGGCCAUAGACUUUCAGGACAACCCUGCACAGGGGAAGACCACAAGUUGCUCUUUCUCUAUUCCAUUUCAGCUUUGAUCAAUUACUUAGGUGCCUUUAUUCAUUUUAUUAAUUAAUUAAUCCUUGCUAGUACUCCCUGCUGCUGCUAUCUACAUCUUCUUCAGCAGUUUAUGUAAAUAAUAUUCAUAUCAGAUCUGC